rnacentral:lncRNA from 1 species
GUGGAUUUGCUCCAGAAGCCCCGGCCUCUGUCCUCGUGUUUCUGAAAACCAUCCUUUCUGGCAAGGAAAGAAAGUCUCAGCGCUUUGGAUGAAGCUCUCUGUUAGGCCACCACUGCUUCUCACGCCUUCGACUGCUGGUGCAGGAAGAUUCCAGGCCACUGGGCUUCACCGGCCCUCAAUGCUCACUUGUCCAGCCCACAGCUUGACAAACUGGUCACUUCCACCCCACCUGCUGGAGCUGACUAGGGCAAGUAAGGCUGAUGGGUGACCCUGAUCGGCCCUCACUGGAGUACAGGGUUUCCUUCUCCAAUCUCCUCAAAACAGGUGAACAAAGUUCUCAGGCCAAGUUGCCUCCAGCACCUCCCCAGUCUCAGACAAGUCCAUGGACCAUCUCUCCUGCUCCAUGCAGGAGGAUUCUCCAACCACAGUGCCAGUUCUACAGGUGUUAUCACCCAGCUAGGAAGGAUUUUGAGAAGAGCAGCUCUGUCCUAUGGGCUGUGGGUUCACAUCUCCACUCUCCACCCAGACAGCCCAGAAGGAAGGCUGUCUCCCUUUGUCGGGCUGAGGUCUGAAGAGUGCUGAGGCCCCGACACACACCGCGUUCCCAAUGGUCAGGGCUGCUUGGGUGAUCAGGCCCUGGUGAUGCGUUCUGGGCUCCUGCCUUCCUCUGCGGGGUGACUCCCGGCUGGUGCUCACAGCACACGCCUAGAGAUGCCCUGAGAACACUGAGGAGCACACAAGGGGCAGCACAUGCCUCUGGAACCUUUAGUUCAGCCUUGUGUGGAGGGAGACACCUUAAUGAAUGAGACCCUUUGGGAAGAGUCACUGCCACGGUGUAGCCAGGCUGACAGAAGCCGUCCUGUAGAAUUGGGUGAAGGGUCCAUUUACACAGCAAACUGGAAUGUUCCUAAAGACUGAAGAGGAAAACGCUGUAUUUAUUUAGCUGGUGUCAGGCCAACUCUACUUCUAUUUCCAAAUUCGUCUUUCCUCUCUCAUUUCUUCAUCUUCUGUACUUAGGACUUGGGGCUUGGGGAUGGGGGACGCAGUGGCUGGAGGCUAGACUUUCCUCUUUGAAAGGUCUGACUUCAGCUCCCGUGACUAUUGCUAAACCGCGGCAGCCACACUCGGGCCGCUGCCUUGCUGGUUGUCACCCCGAUACGCCUGGCCUCUGGGUAGGCAGACGCUUCACUCUGCAGCAUGGAUGGGCUCAAACCCCCAGAAGCCAAACAGCCCUCCCGAAGUCCUUUCUUAUUUCGUAAUUCUAUCUACGUUUUCUUUAUCAUUUAUAAAGCAGAUGUUUUGGAUGAUAUGUUUCCUUUUGUUCAUUUUGUACUGGGUUGAAUAUCAUCCCCCAUAAUUUCAUGUCCACCCAAAACCUCAGAACGUGACCUUAUUUGGAAAUAGGGUCAUGUAGACAUGAUUAGCUCAGGUGAGGUCAUAUUAGAUAGAGUGAGCCCUCAUUCCAAUGACUGGCGUCCUCACCAGAAGGCCACGCAAAGACUCAGAGACAGGAAGGGAGGCCACGUGGCCACACAGGCAGAGACUGGUGUGAUGCAGCCACCAGCCAAGAACGGCGGCAGCAGCAGGAGCUGGAAGAGGCAAGGAAGGGUCUGUCCCCGGAGCCUGCAGAGGAAGUGUGGCCCUGCUGACACUUUGACUUUGGACUUCUGACCUCCAGGGAUGUGAGAGGGUAAAUUCCUGUUGUUUCAAGACACCCAGCUUGUGGUACCAUGUUACAGCAGCCCCAGGAGGCUAAUAUAAUCCUUUCAUUUUUGUUUUGUGUUAUGUUUAGACUUAUGAAUAUAAAACAAAUACAAUAAAAAAAUAAAUGAUCUAAUCUAUCUGCUCCUCAGUGUUCUGCUU